rnacentral:rRNA from 1 species
AACGAACGCUGGCGGCAUGCCUAACACAUGCAAGUCGAACGAGACCUUCGGGUCUAGUGGCGCACGGGUGCGUAACGCGUGGGAACCUGCCCUUAGGUUCGGAAUAACUCCCCGACAGGGGUGCUAAUACCGGAUAAUGUCUUCGGACCAAAGAUUUAUCGCCUUUGGAUGGGCCCGCGUUGGAUUAGCUAGUUGGUAGGGUAAAAGCUUACCAAGGCGACGAUCCAUAGCUGGUCUGAGAGGAUGAUCAGCCACACUGGGACUGAGACACGGCCCAGACUCCUACGCGAGGCAGCAGUGGGGAAUAUUGGACAAUGGGCGAAAGCCUGAUCCAGCAAUGCCGCGUGAGUGAUGAAGGCCUUAGGGUUGUAAAGCUCUUUUACCCGGGAUGAUAAUGACAGUACCGGGAGAAUAAGCUCCGGCUAACUCCGUG